CCAAACUUGGUCAUUUAGAGGAAGUAAAAGUCGUAACAAGGUUUCCGUAGGUGAACCUGCGGAAGGAUCAUUUUUGAAUCUGGUCUCAGCGCUUAACUGCGCGGGACUAAACCUUCACACUUGUUUAUUGUAAUACUGUCAGACGGACGUCAGUCCGGCUGUAAAACAUAACUCUAAGAUCUAAUCUUAACUUAACACUAGUCAUGAAAUUUUACCUAAAAUAAAAUAUUCAAAACUUUCAACAACGGAUCUCUUGGUUCUCGCAUCGAUGAAGAACGCAGC
rnacentral:misc_RNA from 1 species